rnacentral:sRNA from 1 species
GCGAUGAGCUGAGUUGCAUAAGUCGGGGGACGCACCUUUUAGGUACAAACGAUGUGGCGUUUGGUCCCUCGCCGCAAUACGCAAAGGCACCUGAUGAUUCAGGUGCC